GACAAUAGACAAACUGUCCUGAACGUUCCCCAUUUUGUCUGAUCUCAGAAACUAAGCAGGGUUGGGCUCGGAUAGCUUUUGGAUGGGAGACUUCUGGGAAAUGCCGGGUUCUGUAGGCU
rnacentral:rRNA from 1 species